GACCACUGAACAAUUUCUCUAGC
rnacentral:piRNA from 1 species